GAUGAACGCUGGCGGCGUGCCUAAUACAUGCAAGUCGAGCGAACAGAUAAGGAGCUUGCUCCUUUGACGUUAGCGGCGGACGGGUGAGUAACACGUGGGUAACCUACCUAUAAGACUGGGAUAACUUCGGGAAACCGGAGCUAAUACCGGAUAACAUUUGGAACCGCAUGGUUCUAAAGUGAAAGAUGGUUUUGCUAUCACUUAUAGAUGGACCCGCGCCGUAUUAGCUAGUUGGUAAGGUAACGGCUUACCAAGGCAACGAUACGUAGCCGACCUGAGAGGGGGAGCGGCCACACUGGAACUGAGACACGGUACAGACUCCUACGGGAGGCAGCAGUAGGGAAUCUUCCGCAAUGGGCGAAAGCUUGAAGGAGCAACGCCGCGUGAGUGAUGAAGGUCUUCGGAUCGUAAAACUCUGUUAUUAGGGAAGAACAAAUGUGUAAGUAACUAUGCACGUCUUGACGGUACCUAAUCAGAAAGCCACGGCUAACUACGUG
rnacentral:rRNA from 1 species